rnacentral:rRNA from 1 species
GAUGAACGCUGACAGAAUGCUUAACACAUGCAAGUCAACUUGAAUUUGGGUUUUUAACUUAGGUUUGGGUGGCGGACGGGUGAGUAACGCGUAAAGAACUUGCCUCACAGCUAGGGACAACAUUUGGAAACGAAUGCUAAUACCUAAUAUUAUGAUAAUAGGGCAUCCUAUAAUUAUGAAAGCUAUAAGCGCUGUGAGAGAGCUUUGCGUCCCAUUAGCUAGUUGGAGAGGUAACGGCUCACCAAGGCGAUGAUGGGUAGCCGGCCUGAGAGGGUGAUCGGCCACAAGGGGACUGAGACACGGCCCUUACUCCUACGGGAGGCAGCAGUGGGGAAUAUUGGACAAUGGACCAAGAGUCUGAUCCAGCAAUUCUGUGUGAACGAUGAAGUUUUUCGGAAUGUAAAGUGCUUUCAGUUGGGAAGAAAGAAAUGACGGUACCAACAGAAGAAGUGACGGCUAAAUACGUG